CGGAGGCUCCGCCCCCCCCGGAAGGCCCGGCGGCGAAGCCAUGGCGGCGGUGGCGGCCGGCUGGCAAUUGCCGUGGCGGGGGCUUGUCGCGCUGGGCCGGGAGCUGGCGGCCGAAUGGGCAGCGCAGGACGUGCGGGCUGCGCUGUGCCAGCUGCUGCUGGUCUGGCUGAGCCUCAAUCUGCUGGGCAUCCACCUGGCCUGGCGCGUUUACGGCGAGGAGGUGGCCACGCUCUGCUACCGGACCGGGCCCGCCGGCCGCCGGUCCCCCGGUACCGGCCCCGGGCCAGCCCGGCCGCGCGCGCACUCCCUGUCCCCAGCCAGCCCCGCCCGACGCAACGGCGCCGCCGAGCGGCACUGCCCGCCCCGGUGAGUCCCGACCGCUACCGGACCUGAGCCGCUGCACCCUGCCUGCUCUGCUGCGACCCCUGCUACAGCCUGGCCUGACUAGCGCCUUCCCGGCUGCACACUUGGCCCGCUACACCGCUCUAGACCAGGAGGGCUCAACAGCGGAGCUAGCAAAGACGCACCGGGAGUGAGGAGCACCGGGAGUGAGGAGCACCGGGCCCAUCGGGCACUGCCUGCACCAUUAAAGCACUG